AUGAGUGAGGGGGGAAAGCGCCGCAAGGUGUACGGCUUCAAGGCUGAGCGCCAAGCCUUCUUUUCGAAAAAUAUCCGCCGGGCUUUCUUCGAGGAGGGUCGGCAAAAAAAGGAUGAGGAGCGCGCUCGCAUGGAGGCCUACCGAAAACUAUGCAAGGAGGAGGGGAUUGUGUCGAAGCGACUCGAGGACUACGACCGCACGCGCAAGGCGGCCAAGGAAAAUCUGAGCAGCACUCUUGAGCAAGUCGACUAUGACCAGAGUCUCACGAACAACGAAAAAAAGAAGCGUAAGUACAACCUGAAGCGCAAGUUCGCGGCGACGACGGUCAACGACCUCAUUGACAAGCAGCAGAAGCGCUACAGCGCUGUCUCUGGAAUGGAGGAGGUACAGCGCAGGCGCCAACAAGAGCGAGAGGAGAAGCAGAAGGCGCGCCAGGAGCGCGAGCGACAGAAGCAGUCGCGCGUACAAGCACGCAAGUCGCGCAACGCGCUCUUUGCCAAGCGGACCAAGAAGGGGCAGCCGGUUAUGUCGAGCCGUGUGGAGUCUCUUCUGCAGAAGAUCAGCCGGCAAUAA
rnacentral:rRNA from 1 species